AUGAACGAGGACGGAUCCAAGGUUGAGUACUGGGUGUGGAACCCCUUCAGAUCCAAGUUGGCUGCUGUUGUACUCUGUGGUGUGGACAACAUCUGGAUUAUCAUUGCAGGUUUUGGAAGUGCUCUGAGAGGAAUACCAAAAGGAUUUUGUCCUCGUUUUUACAAUAUCCAAGCAUCAAUAUGUAAUGGACUUGUUCAUAGGAGGAAAAUUCCUCUUCCGUUGAGAUGGUCUUUUCGCUCUAUUCAAGCAAGAAAUAAUCACUCACCAUCAGCUGUUGCACCUAAAGAUUAUUGUGAAACUUACAUCCAAUUUUUGAGAGACAAACGGAUAGUUCCUGAUUCAGAUCCUCCAAGCUCUAAGGAUGUGGACCUACUGUACCGGUUUAUAGAUAAGAGUAACAAGCUCAUGGUAUUAACUGGAGCUGGAAUGAGCACCGAGUCAGGAAUUCCUGAUUAUCGGAGUCCUAAUGGAGCAUACAGUUCUGGUUUCAAACCACUCACUCAUCAGGAGUUUGUUCGCUCUAUUCGAGCCCGACGGCGCUACUGGGCUAGGAGUUAUGCUGGAUGGAGAAGGUUCAGGCGAGCACAACCAAAUACAGCUCACUAUGCUCUUGCUUCACUAGAAAGAAUCGGCCGUGUUCACACGAUGGUUACCCAGAAUGUGGAUAGAUUGCAUCAUCGUGCUGGUAGUAAGCCAAUUGAGUUGCAUGGAAGUGUAUAUGAGGUAAUUUGCUUAGAUUGUGGAACAUCCAUCAGCCGGGAGUCAUUCCAAGAACAAGUGAAGGACCUCAACCCAAAGUGGGCUCUAGCUAUUGACAGUUUGGAAGAGGGACAACCUGGCUCGAGCAGAAGUUUUGGUAUGCAGCAGCGACCUGAUGGUGAUAUUGAGAUUGAUGAGAAGUUCUGGGAGCAAGAUUUUGACAUUCCUGGUUGCAGUCAGUGUGGUGGAGUGCUAAAACCUGAUGUUGUGAUGUUUGGUGAUAAUGUUCCAAUAGAGAGAGCUGAUAGCGCUAAGGAGGCUGCAAGAAACUGUGAUGCUCUUCUGGUGGUUGGUUCAGCGGUAAUGACGAUGUCUGCUUUUAGGCUGGCAAGGCUUGCACAUGAAGCAAAUGCUCCAAUCGCCGCGAUUAACAUUGGGGGCACGAGAGCUGAUAGCAUUAUAUCUUUGAAAAUCAAUGCGAGAUGUGGGGAGAUACUUCCCAGAGUACUUCGGAUGGGAAGUCUAGCUGUACCAAGCAUAAGCUGA
rnacentral:rRNA from 1 species